rnacentral:rRNA from 1 species
CCCCCACAUUGGAACUGAGACACGGUCCAAACUCCUACGGGAGGCAGCAGUGAGGAAUAUUGGUCAAUGGACGCGAGUCUGAACCAGCCAAGUAGCGUGAAGGAUGACUGCCCUAUGGGUUGUAAACUUCUUUUAUAUGGGAAUAAAGUUGUCCACGUGUGGAUUUUUGUAUGUACCAUAUGAAUAAGGAUCGGCUAACUCCGUGCCAGCAGCCGCGGUAAUACGGAGGAUCCGAGCGUUAUCCGGAUUUAUUGGGUUUAAAGGGAGCGUAGGCGGAUUGUUAAGUCAGUUGUGAAAGUUUGCGGCUCAACCGUAAAAUUGCAGUUGAUACUGGCAGUCUUGAGUGCAGUAGAGGUGGGCGGAAUUCGUGGUGUAGCGGUGAAAUGCUUAGAUAUCACGAAGAACUCCGAUUGCGAAGGCAGCUCACUGGAGUGUAACUGACGCUGAUGCUCGAAAGUGUGGGUAUCAAACAGGAUUAGAUACCCUGGUAGUCCACACAGUAAACGAUGAAUACUCGCUGUUUGCGAUAUACAGUAAGCGGCCAAGCGAAAGCAUUAAGUAUUCCACCUGGGGAGUAC